rnacentral:rRNA from 1 species
CCUACGGGUGGCAGCAGUGGGGGAUAUUGCACAAUGGGGGAAACCCUGAUGCAGCGACGCCGCGUGUGGGAAGACGGUCUUCUGGAUUGUAAACCACUGUCCCCAGGGACGAAAAUGACGGUACCUGGGGAGGAAGCUCCGGCUAACUACGUGCCAGCAGCCGCGGUAAUACGUAGGGAGCAAGCGUUGUCCGGAAUUACUGGGUGUAAAGGGAGCGUAGGCGGGGAUGCAAGUUGGGUGUCAAAACUACCGGCUCAACCGAUAGUCGCACUCAAAACUGCAACUCUUGAGUGAAGUAGAGGCAGGCGGAAUUCCUAGGGUAGCGGUGAAAUGCGUAGAUAUUAGGAGGAACACCAGUGGCGAAGGCGGCCUGCUGGGCUUUUACUGACGCUGAGGCUCGAAAGUGUGGGGAGCAAACAGGAUUAGAUACCCGGGUAGUC